rnacentral:lncRNA from 1 species
GAGGAUCAAGCACUUCUACUACUUCUUUCAUUGCCAAAGUCUUACGAGAAUCUAGUACAAACAUUCAUACUUGUGGGUGAUAAACUUGUGAUGGAGGACACUAGAAUGUCACUUCUAGCGGAUGAUCUUCGAAAGAUUGCAACUAGUGGCAUGUCUACCAUUGGUAACAAGGAGCAAGCUCAAGGAUUGUUUGUAAGGGGUAGAAACAAUGUGCGACCAAAGGGCAAGGGAGAAAAAUCUAGAUCGAGUUCUAGACCUCUUGCGGAAAGGUCUU